rnacentral:rRNA from 1 species
UGUUGGGUUAAGUCCCGCAACCGAGCGCAACCUCGACUUAGUUGCCAGCAUUCAGUUGGGCACUCUAAGGUGACUGCCGGCUAAAAGUCGGAGGAAGGUGGGGAUGACGUCAAACCAUCAUGCCCCUUAUGACCUGGGCUACACACGUGCUACAAUGGGCGGUACAAAGGGUCGCGAACCCGCGAGGGGGAGCCAAUCCCAAAAAGCCGCUCUCAGUUCGGAUUGCAGGCUGCAACUCGCCUGCAUGAAGCCGGAAUCGCUAGUAAUCGCGGAUCAGCAUGCCGCGGUCGAAUACGUUCCCGGGCCUU